rnacentral:rRNA from 1 species
UACGUAGGGUGCAAGCGUUUGUCCGGAAUUAUUGGGCGUAAAGAGCUCGUAGGCGGUCUGUCGCGUCGGCUGUGAAAACCCGGGGCUCAACCCCGGGCCUGCAGUCGAUACGGGCAGACUAGAGUGCGGUAGGGGAGACUGGAAUUCCUGGUGUAGCGGUGGAAUGCGCAGAUAUCAGGAGGAACACCAAUGGCGAAGGCAGAUCUCUGGGCCGUAACUGACGCUGAGGAGCGAAAGCAUGGGGAGCGAACAGG